rnacentral:rRNA from 1 species
AGCGAACGCUCGCGGCAGGCCUAACACAUGCAAGUCGAACGAACCUUUCGGGGUUAGUGGCGGACGGGUGAGUAACACGUGGGAACGUGCCUUUAGGUUCGGAAUAACUCAGGGAAACUUGUGCUAAUACCGAAUGUGCCCUUCGGGGGAAAGAUUAAUCGCCUUUAGAGCGGCCCGCGUCUGAUUAGCUAGUUGGUUGAGGUAAUGGCUCACCAAGGCGACGAUCAGUAGCUGGUCUGAGAGGAUGAUCAGCCACAUUGGGACUGAGACACGGCCCAAACUCCUACGGGAGGCAGCAGUGGGGAAUCUUGCGCAAUGGGCGAAAGCCUGACGCAGCCAUGCCGCGUGAAUGAUGAAGGUCUUAGGAUUGUAAAAUUCUUUCACCGGGGACGAUAAUGACGGUACCCGGAGGAGAAGCCCCGGCUAACUUCGUG